rnacentral:rRNA from 1 species
AGUGAACGCUGGCGGUAGGCCUAACACAUGCAAGUCGAACGGCAGCACAGUAAGAGCUUGCUCUUACGGGUGGCGAGUGGCGGACGGGUGAGGAAUACAUCGGAAUCUACUUUUUCGUGGGGGAUAACGUAGGGAAACUUACGCUAAUACCGCAUACGACCUACGGGUGAAAGCAGGGGAUCUUCUGACCUUGCGCGAUUGAAUGAGCCGAUGUCGGAUUAGCUAGUUGGCGGGGUAAAGGCCCACCAAGGCGACGAUCCGUAGCUGGUCUGAGAGGAUGAUCAGCCACACUGGAACUGAGACACGGUCCAGAGUCCUAAGGGAGGCAGCAGUGGGGAAUAUUGGACAAUGGGCGCAAGCCUGAUCCAGCCAUACCGCGUGGGUGAAGAAGGCCUUCGGGUUGGAAAGACCUUUUGUUGGGAAAGAAAAGCAGCAGGUUAAUACCCCGCUGUUCUGACGGUACCCAAAGAAUAAGCACCGGCUAACUUCGUG